AAAAAAUCAGCUCGUGUAUUUUGAUACAAAUUACAGCAAAUAUAACAAUUUUUGAUAUAUAUUUACAACAAACAUUGGAAUUUAUUAAUUUAAAUAAAAUUUCAUCAGCAUAAACAGAAGAUAAUUAAAAAAUGUACAAGCUAUAAUUUAUAUACAUUUGCUUGUAUAUUGUGUUUCUUGAUUCUUGAAUUGUUAUUCAAACAUGGGAAUUGCCAUUUUUCUCAAAGUACAGGUUGGCAUCGAUUAACUUCACUGUGGGGUGGUAGUGGUUUGUAAGUAAAGGAAGAAAAUAAUAAAUGCUUUGACUUUUCGCGUUGCAUGCGCAUGUACUUUUCAAUAUAAUUACUAUAAAAAUUAGAAAGUAAAUUGUUUAUUAUUGUAUGCAGCAAUAAUGUUUUUGUCAAGUUUGUUAUUCGAUAAAAAAGAAAAAAAAGUGAACUUACUUUUAGGCACGGAAAUAAAUUUUUUUUUUGGAAAAAUGUUAUAUGUACAGUAAAACGUACAAAUGCCUUCCACUUGAAGUUGCUGCUAGAAAAUGAAUAUUUGCGGUUAGUCUUGUAUUUUCGUACUCUUUGCCGACAGAUCUGCCAAAUGAUCAGGUGUCAUCAAUGGUCAUCACUAGAAAAGUUUGUUUUGAUCGGUUGGUUUUUUCGAUAGCGGCUUUUGUAAAUUCUUCAAUGUUUUAGAAAUAAUUCCGAGUGUUAAAAUAAUUAAAUGUGUUCGGGAAUUAAAUGUUAAAGUGAUUGAUAAAAGGAUUAUGCAAUCAAUUGCAGUUAUUAUACGAAAGACAGCAACUACGAACAGAGGAGACAUUAUAAAGAGGAAUUCAACAAUCUUUGUCCGGAAUAUAAACAAUUAUAAAAAUACGUUAACAGUAAAAGUCGAUAUUAUAAGUGGCAGCAGCAAUAUAAUAUAGUGAAAGCUCAGGGGAAUUUUCAAGAACUCAAGAUAAAAAUAAAAAUUUUUAAAGAUUACAAUAUGAAUAACGAUCCGGUCUUCAAGCAACGUAACACGAGACACGAUUAUUUGCAUGGAAAAUUGACUCACUUAAAGAAUUUGGUCGAAGAAUUUGAUACGAAGCAUUUCGGUGUUAAUGGUAACAAGACAAGAUUUUGAAGAAGAAAAAUAUUUGUUUAAUUGAAAAUUGUUGGAUAGAAAAUUAAUUUGGCUUAAUAUAUAAAAUAUGAAAAAAAUUUAAUAAACAUUAAUAGAUUUAAAGAAGUUAAUUUCAGAAAUAAAUAAAAAAAGAACAAUAAACGAAAUUAAACACAAGAAAAUAC